ACUUCCAAGAUCCCGUGUCUUUGUCGGAUUAUUGACGUUGUUGCUGCUCUUGCUCAAGUGUUGAUCAUUUUUGCUCAAAAGUCCUUCCCCAGCUGUGGUGGUGGGCGUUUCCCUCCAGCAGGCGCACCUGUACCUCAUUUCCCAUCAAGCCUUGCGGUGUAUUUAAGGACUGCCGAGCUGGAUUAUUGACUUUACUCACUGUUGUGCUUAAGUGUUACUUUCCAGACCUGUCGAUGCUAUUUGUUGUCGCUCUUGUUUUGUUCAUAGAUUGUUGUAAACAUUUUUGUCAUUCAGUCAUUGCUCUUCAUCAUUGUCUUCACGUUAUUGUACUUUUGAUGUCAUUUGUGUAUUGUCUGUGUUCUAUUGAACCUUGUCUUUGCAAGCGCGUUUUGUUUCAUUCAUUGUGUUUUUCUUGGUUCUUCGCGACCAGCGAUUUCAGUUGAUACUUUGUCGGUGCGAUUUUUUUUUUUUCUGUAGUAAAUAUUUUUGUUAUCGCACUUCUGGAAUCCCAAAACAUUCACCAGAAGCCAAUCCCAACUCAAAAGAAUUAAAAUCCUGCCGUAGUGUUUGAAUGUUUAUGAAAACGAACAGUACACAACACUCAGUGGUCAUCAAUAUUUCAAUUUUCAACACGGUGCAGUUUUGAUAUCAAUGUAAUAAAAAUAAUCACAUUCCUCUUCUGGCCAAUUCUCUCAUGUCAUAUUUUAUACUGUAAUUGCCGUACGAUUAGCUAGCAAACAGG